rnacentral:rRNA from 1 species
GUCUAUUAGAAAUUGUUUAUAGUCUAGCCUGCUCACUGACAUAAAGUGUUAAAUAGCCGCGGUAUCUUGACCGUGCAAAGGUAGCAUAAUCAUUAGUUUCUUAAUUGGGAACUUGUAUGAAUGGUUGGACAAAGAAAAAUCUGUCUCUUGCACUGAAAUUGAAUUUAACUUCUAAGUGAAAAGGCUUAGAUUAUCCAGAGGGACGAUAAGACCCUAUAAAGCUUUAUAAAUUUAUUAAUUUCGUUUAUUUUUUAUUAUAAUAAUGAUGAUAAGAGAAUUUAUUUGGUUGGGGCAACCGAAGUAUAAUUUUAAAUAACUGCUAUAAUUUAAUACAAUGAUUUUUGUCUUAUACAAUAAUUGAUCCUCAAAGAGAUUAAAGACCAAGUUACUUUAGGGAUAACAGCGUAAUUUAUCCUGAGAGUUCUUAUCAAAGGAAAAGUUUGCGACCUCGAUGUUGAAUUAAAAUGUCUACCUAGUGCAGCAGCUAGGAAAGAAGGUCUGUUCGACCUUUAAUUUUUU